GUGAGAUUGAAUUUCUUGUCCGAGUUUUAUUGGUUAUUUGCAUUUCUUCCUGUAUCAGUUGCGUGUUCACGUCCUUUGCCCUUUUCCAUUAGUCUAUUUUUAAAUCAAUCUGUAGGCUCUCUUUGUGUACUAGUUCUACUAACCUAUUGGUCACAUGUGUUAAAAGUGCUUUGUCCGCUCUAUUGUUUUUUGUUUUGGCUUGGUUUUCUUUGUGGUAAUUUUUAUCAUACGUGUUUAAAAAAUAGUAGCCCAAUAUGUCAAUCUUUUCCUUUACAGUUUUUGGAUUUUGUGCCUUCUUAAGAAGGACUCCUUAUCCUCAAAGUUUUCAAGGAGUCUCCUAAUAUUGACACAGAAUACCCUCAUCAUAUGUGAUUUUCCUCUUUUCUUGUGGUGUUCUUCUUCUUUGCCUUGGUAGGCACCCACAGAGAUGGGUUAUUUCCCUCCUGCAGCCUGGCGGUACCUCCGACUCUCAGGGACUCUGCCAUUGACUGGAGACUCCUACUUGACUGGAGUGGUGCAUUUAGUGAUUUGUGCCAAGCAGGAGCCAAUAGUACUAUGCCUAGACUCUGGUGAAUGGUGAACGGGGAUAUGGAUGGAGAGGCAGAGGAGGAGGGCAGGGAAGUGUGACUGAAGCCAGGUAGUGCAUGGAAUUCAACAUCCUACAGUGGAAUUGGAGUGGAAUAGGGUGGGUGCUGAGGGCCUGCUUCUGGGAAGACCUCAGCUGCUCACUUCAUGUUGGGUCAGAGUGGCCAGUGCCUCUGUCUCUUGGAAUGAUAAACCUCAUAGAAUGUAAGGAAAAUUGGAGAUUUCUACCUCUAGGGUUGGAAGGCAAUGAACCCCUUCCUUGUUAGUGCUAACAGUGUGAAUAUUCAGCCUUUUCCUAUGCUUAUAAGUGCAUGUGAACAAGAGGCUGCAUUUCCUCUGUUCCCAUUCCCUCCUGGAUACCAGCAACACUCAUUACUUUCCCAGGUGUGGGGCUUGGGCCCUGCACUCUGCCCCUGUCCACGGUGCUGGAGACGCUCUUUAGACACUUACUUCUGGAUAAAGACCUUGAUAGACACCAGACCAUUAGGCAGCCCAUGGAUCAAAUAGUGGUUGAGCAGGCCAAACUUUCCACCUGACCCUAAGCAACCAUAUGUGAGAUUGAACAUCAGUGAUGAGCAGCUCUUGUUUGGGGAAUGCGUGAGGCACCCAUAUGAAGCUAAGUGUAGGGGAGGAACCCACAGGCUGCUGUGGCCGGUCACCUACUCCUGGUGCUUCCCUUUGAUCCUUUGCCUUUACAACCUGGAAACCCACCACCACCUCUAUCACCUAAAAGAUUCAAACCUUCUGCUGUGCUGUGGAGUAACAUAAUUCUGCCACAGAAUUUAGCUCUAUCUUUUGUCUCAUUCCUGAAAUCUUACGCAAGAAUCUUGAGUGGAGUAUUUCUACCAGACCUCAGGAGAGCUGGCUUCAUUCAGAUCAAAAAUGACGGGCCUACCCUCCCCUCACUCUUAGUCUCUCUUCCUCCUCUCAAGUCUCCAUUUAGGACACACUUCCCUUCCUGGGACUGGAAACCCUCUCUAGAACAUGAUGCUUUUCUAUUUUUCCUCUAGCUCCAUUUGCAUGGCAAAAUUUGGGCAAGAAUUUCCCAUGUAAUUAGCUCCUUAGAGUCAGGAAACCACGCCUGCUUCCUAUCUAGUUCAGGGAAGAGGUUUAUUACAGGGAAAGGAGAAAUUUGGAAGGAGACUGGGGAAGUGUAAGUAGAGGCAAUGGAGAAAAACCAGGAGACAGUGGAAGCACAGAAACCAAAGGAAGAAAGAAUGACAAGAAGGAGGACGUUCCCUAUGCUUGGAAAAGGAAAUCUCCCCGGCAGAGAUGAAGAGAAAGAUGGACACUUCAAGGUGCCUGCUCCUUUUGUGUUCCUAAAUGGAGCAGUGCCUGCCAAGGAGUGGCAGGGUGGGGUGGGCAAGGUUAACAGUGGGGCAGGCCCAGUAGGAAGGAGUAUUUUAUUACUGCAUCAUUUCGAAUUGCUGGUGCAUGGUGACAACAGAAAUCAGACCAACUUGGUUCUAUUAUUGUUUUUAAAUUCUUUACCAACAAGCCAUUCUGUUAUUGCUUGCACCCAGGGUGGACCACUCCCACCUUCCAACACUCCUGAAGUACACCAGUGAAAUGGAGGAACCCAGUGUGACCCUUUUAUUUGUCCAAUAUGGAUGAGUUUGGGACAGGCCCAAAUCUGGAAGUGAGGAGAACUCUAAAGUUGUCUGCAUAUUAAAGGAGAUUAUUGAUUCUUAAGCAUGCCUGAAGGAGAGUCAAGCCUGACUUAGAAAAUGAGAAGCAGGAAAUAUUUAAGAGGAGAAUGCCUAGAAAUAGGGUGAUGUGAACUCUCUCCAUCACCCCAAACCUUUGGGAAAAGACCUGUGGAUUGGCUUGAGGUUGGGAUGGAUGGCAAAUCAUGGAAAUGGGGCAGAGAACAGAGAACAGUCCAUCACAGAAAAUAAACACAAGUGAUAUUAAGAUUUCAUGGAGAACUAGGACUCAGAGCCAAGGAGACUAUGAAGAAUCUGCAGGAAUCUUGGAGAUGGCAUCGGACUUCACGUAGUGUCUCAUGUGCAGAGCCUUGUUCCAAGAGGAGAGGGCACACCAUGCCACACAUGGCCCCGUGGGGAAGCACCAGGUCAGCCCUGAAGAAGAGGAGGAAAUUGUGGGAGGCUGCCACAGCAUGGCUUGAUGAAUGGUGUUGGUCUGCACCUGGGAUCCGAACCUGAGAACCUGGGCCGCCAAAGCAGAAUGCACCAAACUUAACUGCUACGCCACUGAGCUGGCCCCGCAGGCUAAAAAGUUUUAAUACACCCUUUUGACACUUUCCUCAACAAUAACCCUGUUGCCACAUUUACUUCACUAUCACCCAAAUGUAAACUGAGGCUUUACUGAUGUAUAUAAUCACUCCAUUAUUCUACGGGAUGGUAUGAGUAAGUGAGGAGUAUUUAUGCUGGUUGGCGG
ensembl:lncRNA